UACGAAGGGGGCCAGCGUUGUUCGGAAUUACUGGGCGUAAAGCGCACGUAGGCGGAUACUUAAGUUAGGGGUGAAAUCCCAGAGCUCAACUCUGGAACUGCCUUUAAUACUGGGUAUCUCGAGUCCGGAAGAGGUGAGUGGAAUUCCGAGUGUAGAGGUGAAAUUCGUAGAUAUUCGGAGGAACACCAGUGGCGAAGGCGGCUCACUGGUCCGGUACUGACGCUGAGGUGCGAAAGCGUGGGGAGCAAACAGG
rnacentral:rRNA from 1 species